ACGGAGGGCGCAAGCGUUGUUCGGAAUUACUGGGCGUAAAGCGCGGGCAGGUGGCCUGUUAAGUCUGCGGUGAAAUCCCGGGGCUCAACUCCGGAUAUGCCGCGGAUACUGGCGGGCUAGAGACCGGUAGAGGCAAGUGGAAUUCCAGGUGUAGCGGUGGAAUGCGUAGAUAUCUGGAAGAACACCGGUGGCGAAGGCGGCUUGCAGGGCCGGUUCUG
rnacentral:rRNA from 1 species